CGUAUAUUUAAGUUGUUGCAGUUAAAAAGCUCGUAGUUGGAUUUCGGGUGGGUUCCAGCGGUCCGCCUAUGGUGAGUACUGCUGUGGCCCUCCUUUCUGUCGGGGACGGUCUCCUGGGCUUCACUGUCCGGGAAUCGGAGUCGACGAUGAUACUUUGAGUAAAUUAGAGUGUUCAAAGCAAGCCUACGCUCUGAAUACUUUAGCAUGGAAUAUCGCGAUAGGACUCUGGCCUAUCUCGUUGGUCUGUAGGACCGGAGUAAUGAUUAAGAGGGACAGUCGGGGG
rnacentral:rRNA from 1 species